rnacentral:rRNA from 1 species
UGGGGAAAUUCAGUGCUGCAGUUAACACAAUAAGUAUUCCGCCUGGGGAGUAUCGGUCGCAAGACUGAAACUCAAAGGAAUUGACGGGGGCCCGCACAAGCAGCGGAGCAUGUGGUUUAAUUUGAAGCAACGCGAAGAACCUUAUCAGGUCUUGACAUCCUUUGACCGUUUGAGAGAUCAGAUUUUCCCUUUGGGGACAAAGAGACAGAUGGUGCAUGGUUGUCGUCAGUUUGUGUCGUGAGAUGUUGGGUUAAGUCCCGCAACGAGCGCAACCCUUAUGUUUAGUUGCCAUCAUUCAGUUGGGUAUUUUAGACAGAUUGUCCGUGAAAGUGGGAGGAAGGUGGGGACGAUGUCAAAUCGUCAUGCCUUUUACGACUUGGGUUACACACGUGUUACAAUGGUCUGUACAGAGGGUAGUGAAGCCGUGAGGUGGAGCCAAUCUCAAAAAACAGACCUCAGU